rnacentral:misc_RNA from 1 species
GAUGAAGAACGUAGCGAAAUGCGAUAAGUAGUGUGAAUUGCAGAAUUCAGUGAAUCAUCGAAUCUUAGAACGCACAUUGCGCCCCUUGGUAUCCCGAGGGGCAUGCCUGUUCGAGCGUCAUUUCACCACUCAAGCCUGGCUUGGUGUUGGGCGACGUCCUCUUUGGGGACGCGCCUCGAAACGCUCGGCGGCGUGGCACCGGCUUUAAGCGUAGCAGAAUCUUUCGCUUUGGAAGUCGGGGCCCCGUCUGCCGGAAGACCUGCUCGCAAGGUUGACCUCGGAUCAGGCAGGGAUACCCGCUGAACUUAAGCAUAUCAAUAAGCGGAGGA